ACGGCCAAGUCGCGCUCGGAGGAAAGGCUGUCGGUGGGCGGGGGCCGCCGCGCUGCCGGUCGCCGCCCGCUCAGCACGUACGCGGCCAGUUCGGGCGGCGUGAGCAGCACGCAAUCGAGUCCUGGCUGCAGCCGUGCGGCCAGCCCAGAAGGCCGCGGCUCACCGGCACUCUCGCGUAUCCCGCUACGCUCCAGCUUCGGCGCCGGCAAGACCAGCAGCCUGCCGUCGGCGCUGACGCGCGCGCGUUGGCGGAGGAAGUAGCCGAUGUUGGAAAAGGCCAGGCGCGCACGGCGCGUCGGCUGCGUCACUGCCGCCGCGGUAGAGGCGCCUCACAGAGCGGCGUGCGCCGGAGCGCGCCGCCCGCCGCGCUGUUGCGCUCUGGGCCCCGUUCCCGGCCCCGGUCCGGGCCCGCACCCAUCUCAGUAUUACGCUCCACCAAAUACAGUGCCACUGUGAUGGGCCGGCGUCCCCUGUCUAGUCGCGUAGUUCCGAGUAGCAGAUAGCUUUGUUGUUCACAAGUUGGGCUGUUUUUCAGGAGUUGUUUUGCCGGGGUUGUAGUGCGUGCCUCACGACGCGUUGCGCCCAUUUCGGCGUCCGAACAAGACGUGAUGCAGUGCGGUUCGAUUGGCGGCGCGCGUCAAGUGUUCCCGGUCAGUUACUCACCAACCGAGCCCUCCUCCACGCAGCAUGGCCGGCCGCCGGCCGGUGUCUGUGUCGGCGGCGGCCGGCCGCGCUCGGCCUGUCACCGAGCCGUCGCCGCGGCCGGCAGCCCAGCAGGAGCCGUCUGCAGGCCGCCGGCAACAUGGCAGGGUGACCCCGAGCGUUCAGCUGGUGGAGUGGUAUAGCGCGCCCCCUUGACCUCUGCAAUAGUCAACGCGUGACUGUGUGUCCGUGUCCGCCGUCUGGGUGGCCUUUGUCUCAGGCUGCACCCGUCGAGCGCGUGCAACCGCAGGCUCCGACUGUCCCCCGUGUGUGGUGGAGCUGUAACGCAAGGCAGCGUGGCGGAAGGCGCCUAUAUGGGGCUUUACGGGGGACCAUAUCAUGUACAAGAGGUGUGAGUCAGGAAGACUCGGGCUCAACGCUCGUCAUAGUCGACUUCACGCGUCAGGCCGCGCAGGUCUGCCGCGACUUCGGAGCGUCGCUCACGUAUUCGGUGUUGGCACCGUGCAUAGCACCUUGACCGUGUCCGUAUCGUGGCCGCGUCCGUAUCGCGGCCAGGCCUGUGGGCGUGUGCGGGCGUCUCGUGUAUGGCAGCACUGGCUCACCGAUGGACGCAGGCCAUGUCGGCGGACGCAGGCCAUGUCACCGACGGACGCAGGCCAUGCGGCCGAGCACGCCUGUCGGCGUGCUCGGCCGCAUGGCGCGUUUGGAGCGUGGUGUGCCCUGUGGCAUCGUUACCGAGCUGCUACGGGAGGCUGCGGUCGGGCCGUGACCGGCGCGGCACGUCACCUGCGAGUGACGCGGUGCGUCGCUCGCGCGCCGAGGGCAGCAGCCAGCCCACGCCAGCUGACAGGGACGCCCGCCCCAGCAUCUGUCCCCAGUUGCGCGCACCAAUCCCGUACUGUUAGCUAAUGCGACACAUGCCUCUGGAUGGUGGUAGCUCACGCGCCAGCUGUACGUGCGGCGCUGUGAGAGGCGUGGUCAGAGAGCUCCCCGUCCUCGCACUUGGGCGCCGGGCAGGAGCAUGCGAGUCAGUUCGCCUGCAGACGGGUGGUCACGACUGCCCGCGUACAAAGGCACGGGUCUCUCUGGAUAGCCGGCGGUUUGUUGGUGUUUGCACCGCCCGGCGCCUGUCCCACCUACAGCUCCGUGACCUCGGAUGGCCUCUGGAGACAUGUUCAUCUGGUCGCUUCUGAUCGGUGCUCUAUCUAUUGCAAUGACCAGUAGAUUUGGGGUGUCUGAGUAGCUUUAAGCGACGGAAAUUGAUCGAUGUUGGUGGACACAUGAUGCGCUAUUACGUAGGUCAUUGAGGAUCAUGUUUCUAUCUCCCAGUCUGUCCGUGCGGUCUUGUCUGCUCGUGUCCCCAAAUCGUAUUGUUCAUUUCCCUCUCUUUUGUCUGAUCUGCUACUUCGCUUCCGUAAUGCCCGGUCACCUCGGCAUCAUUUCGCGUUGAUCCUGACCGCAUUUACCUCGUAGAAUUUCUCUUCCAUCCCUGUCACUAUCUCAUGUUAUCUGCGCCUUAUUCUAUCGCUGCACUUGUGUGUCUGGUGACCUCGGUGAUAUUCUGCGUAAACCCGUACACUGAUAUUUUAAGUGCGGCUGGUAGCCAACCAAACCAAAGAAGUUGCGUGCGAAUUCCACUUCACGUGAGACUUGUUAGGAUGCUUUUGGUUCAUUGUGUUCUUCAAUGGAUGUCUCUUGAAUCGUGUUGCUCGAAAUACAGGAUAGUGCAGGA
rnacentral:lncRNA from 1 species